AUUGAACGCUGGCGGCAGGCCUAACACAUGCAAGUCGAGCGGAUGAGAGGAGCUUGCUCCUGGAUUCAGCGGCGGACGGGUGAGUAAUGCCUAGGAAUCUGCCUGGUAGUGGGGGACAACGUUUCGAAAGGAACGCUAAUACCGCAUACGUCCUACGGGAGAAAGCAGGGGACCUUCGGGCCUUGCGCUAUCAGACGAGC
rnacentral:rRNA from 1 species